AACGAACGCUGGCGGCAUGCCUAACACAUGCAAGUCGAACGAAGGCUUCGGCCUUAGUGGCGCACGGGUGCGUAACGCGUGGGAAUCUGCCCUUAGGUUCGGAAUAACAGUUAGAAAUGACUGCUAAUACCGGAUGAUGACGUAAGUCCAAAGAUUUAUCGCCUGAGGAUGUGCCCGCGUAGGAUUAGCUAGUUGGUGUGGUAAAGGCGCACCAAGGCGACGAUCCUUAGCUGGUCUGAGAGGAUGAUCAGCCACACUGGGACUGAGACACGGCCCAGACUCCUACGGGAGGCAGCAGUGGGGAAUAUUGGACAAUGGGCGCAAGCCUGAUCCAGCAAUGCCGCGUGAGUGAUGAAGGCCUUAGGGUUGUAAAGCUCUUUUACCCGUGAUGAUAAUGACAGUAGCGGGAGAAUAAGCCCCGGCUAACUCCGUG
rnacentral:rRNA from 1 species